rnacentral:misc_RNA from 1 species
AGAGAGAGAGAGAGAGAGAGAAAAAAAAAAAAAAAAAAAGGGAAAUGGAGAAAGUGAAUUGAACGAAAAGUGACAAAAGUGAAGAAAGGUAAGCAGUCAGCAGUGUUGGUGAGAGCUUUGAAGCUUUUACCUAAACAACAGGAAAUGUCAUUAUCAUCACGCGAUUCCGCAGAAAGUUGCCCCCACAAACAAGUAUCAAUUCCUUUCCGUUCUCCUCCUCAGAGUCAGUCAGUCCUAGACCUGGCCCAAGUCGACUCGUAACUAAAACCAAAAAUUUAAUUUUGAA